GAAAAGCCAAAACUGGAGGAGGUGCUGGAAACUGCCAGUAACUUUGCCAAGUUUUCAGCAGCAGUGUCAUUACCACAGCGUGCCCGAGCUUCCUCUGAGCCAGCAUGCCCAGCACUUGGCUCGAACCGCUCCACGCAGCGCUCGCGGCGCCUUGCGAAGCACGGAACUGAAAGUGCCAGAGCCGCCCCAAUCUAGUGGCCUCCAUAUUAGGAAGGUUUUUCAUGCCACCUUUCAUCACUGCAGGUAAAUCUGACCUGAAAAAGAAAAUCCAUAUACAAGUAUUGGAGUCUAGUCAAUGGCAUGCGUGUUCAAGGGGUAAUGUG